ACAGAGGCCUCGAGCGUUAGGCGGAAUCACUGGGCUUAAAGCGUGUGUAGGCGGAUCGUUAAGUACCUUGUGAAAUCCCACGGCUCAACCGUGGAACGGCUGGGUAUACUGGCGGUCUUGGGCCAUCUAGGGGCGACCGGAACAAACGGUGGAGCGGUGAAAUGCGUAGAUAUCGUUUGGAACGCCGAUGGUGAAAACAGGUCGCUGGGGAUGUGCCGACGCUGAGACACGAAAGCCAGGGGAGCAAACGGGA
rnacentral:rRNA from 1 species